rnacentral:lncRNA from 1 species
AGUCAAGUCAGUGCAGCAGGUCCUGCUCAGAGAAGAGGCAGCCAAAGAUGCCUGUCACAUCCACCCUAGGAAAGGACAGGAAGGCAAUACAGCAAACAAGGGAAUUAAUCCUGAAUGCUCAUGAGUAGCACCUAAAGAGCAACCACAUGAACUUGGAAGGGGACACUUUCUGCUGAUUCCUGAGUUCUGAUUUCACCCUCAGACCUGAUCUACAUCUGCUUGUUUGACUAGAAGACUAUAGGAGCAGUCCUCUGAGAGGCACAACAAGCAGCUGACCAAGACAGAAGCAGAAACUUUCACUCAUCCAAUGGAGAGAAGCUUGUUAACCCUGUGGUUGAAUUAGUGAAAGGCUGGAGAAUUUGUGGAGGAAGGUGAUUUCACUGAAAAACUUGUAAUCUCAACUAACCUGGACACCUGCAAUCUCUCAGAUUCUGAACCACCAUCCAAGCAGCAUGCACUAGCAGACAGGAGCAGUCCUCUGAGAGGCACAUCAAGCAGAUGACCAAGACUGAAGCAGAAACUUUCACUCAUCCAAUGGACAAAAGCUGGGGAACCCUGUGGUUGAAUUGGUGCAAGGCUGGAAGAAUUUGUGGAGGAAGGUGAUUUCACUGAAAAACCUGCAAUCUCAACAAACCUGGACCCCUGCAAUCUCUCAGAUUCUGAACCACUAUCCAAGCAGCAUGCACUAGCAGGAGACAGUGAUGGCAUUAGGACCUUAAUAGGAUCUGCCUGCAGUAGCUGAGUACCGUGAAACCAUCUCCAACUUGCUCCACGGCCGACAGGCCAAGCAGAAGCACCCUGAGCCAGUCCCAGGCUUUGACAGCUGCUGAAGCCCAGAAGCUGUGAUUGGACUGGGGAGACUCUCACUGCCUAUAAUCUGCUGUGAUUCCCUCUUGGAAGAUAACCCACUGCAUUGGACAAUAUUCCUGUAGAUCAAUGUUAAGGGAUCGCUUACACUUGAGAAGAACUACUGAACAGCACGUGCCCGAGGUCGAGGUCCAGGUCAAACGUCGAAGGACAGCCUCACUGAGCAACCAAGAGUGUCACUUGUACCCACGACGUUCUCAGCAACAGCAAGUUCCUGUGGUGGAUUUCCAGGCAGAACUAAGACAGGCAUUCUUAGCUGAGACACCAAGAGGUGGUUAAAGCAGUAUUGCAACUUCAAGGUGGUGGAAUUCAAGGAAAACAGGACCCAUCCUCUGUCUGUGAAACUUUGGUCAAGCUUACAUUGUUUGUUAAUAGCCUGCAUCGAACCUUUAUUUAUAUCCCUUCCCCGAGUAUUAAGGAUCUUGAAAUUUUAGUGUUGACAACGGCUAUUGUGGAACAGCAAUCAUGACUGUGGGUAAGAGUAGCAAGAUGCUGCAGCACAUUGACUAUAGGAUGAGAUGUAUCCUGCAAGAUGGGAGAAUCUUCAUUGGCACCUUCAAGGCUUUUGACAAGCAUAUGAAUUUGAUCCUCUGUGAUUGUGAUGAGUUCAGGAAGAUCAAGCCAAAGAAUGCAAAACAGCCAGAACGUGAAGAAAAACGGGUUUUGGGUCUGGUCUUGCUACGUGGGGAGAACUUGGUUUCAAUGACUGUGGAGGGCCCACCUCCUAAAGAUACUGGCAUUGCUCGUGUGCCUCUUGCUGGCGCUGCAGGUGGCCCUGGGGUUGGAAGAGCAGCUGGCAGAGGAGUGCCAGCAGGUGUACCUAUUCCCCAGGCUCCUGCUGGAUUAGCAGGCCCUGUCAGAGGAGUUGGAGGCCCAUCCCAGCAGGUCAUGACCCCACAGGGAAGAGGCACUGUUGCAGCUGCUGCUGUUGCUGCUACUGCUAGCAUUGCAGGAGCCCCAACCCAGUACCCGCCAGGACGGGGAACUCCACCUCCACCUGUAGGCAGAGCAACCCCACCUCCAGGCAUUAUGGCUCCUCCACCUGGUAUGAGACCACCCAUGGGCCCACCCAUUGGGCUUCCCCCUGCUCGUGGGACACCUAUAGGCAUGCCUCCUCCAGGAAUGAGACCCCCUCCACCAGGAAUUAGAGGCCCACCUCCCCCAGGAAUGCGCCCACCAAGACCCUAAGAUACAGUUGAUAAAUCUCAGCCCUUCUCUUCCCCUACAAUGCUUCUUGUGAAAUUGUGUACCUGCAAGCUUUUUGACCCCUCUUACUGCAUUAACUAUAGAUAAUAAAUACAUAGAGCAAUUCAAUUGGGGUUUUUCUUUGUCUGCUGAUUUUGUUAAAGUUAGAGUGAAACCAAAUGUGUUUCAGUGGUGAAAUUAUUGUUAAAGAUUACUAUAUUAAGUUUAUAUUAACUAAACACAGAUAUGACAUUUGCUCAAGCUAGGUUCUUAGGAUCAGAUAGUUGAAAUAUUUUCCUGAUUUCUGACAUUCACUUCAAGCAUUGGUUCAAAAUCUUACAGAUAAGGAAAAUCAAGAUCCAUUUGCUAAGAUUUACAAGCCAUUCCGGUUCAAUUAAAUAUGUUUCACUUAAAGGUGUGUGAAGAUAUUUAAGCAGAUAUUUAAAUUCACAUCAUUUAUGGCACUGGUAUGUCAUUAUUGCUUAUGAAUUAAAACAUGGAAUGCAAGGUAUUUUCCAAUCUUCCAAACAUGCUCUAUUACUUAGCAGUCUAUAAUUAUGUUUACAACUAUACAUACAUCCAUAUACACACAUACACAUGCAUUCCAUGCAUGCAUGCGCACACACACACACACACACACACACAGACAUCUAUCAUGUACUGGGUCUAUUUUGGUUUUAGUUUGUACAUUUGUUUAGGUGCAUUAAUUGGUAUUAAAUAAAUUAUAAAAUGAUUUUCCUGAAGAAGACUUAUUCUCAGAAGUCAAUGAUAGUUCAUCUGUGUGGGGCCUUAUGAAAUUUCCAGUAUCCGUGUCAGUAUGUCUGCUGAUGGUAUUGCACAGCUUCUUUCAUGUCUAGGAGUUGCUAAUUAACCCUCCCUCCCAUAAUCUGGAGGUUGGUAAACAGGAGGCUCUGAUAUUUGGAUGUGAGUGAUGACCACAAAUUUGAAGAAAAUCUAUGAUCUUAUUCUUGAACUAAAAGUGACCACUCAGAGUUCAUGACUGAAGAAAGAAAUUUUCAGUGAAUGUUAUGAAGUUUCAUGACUUGACUACCACCCUGUAGUAUUAUAACAAAGCUGUAAAUCCUAAUAUCGCAGCUUAAGACAGAAACAUAAACCAUCCAAGCAAGAUGAAAUGUCCUUGGAUCACAAAAGGCCUGGUGACAUGGAUCCUCAUAAAAUGGCGUUCCCAACUCAUGAAAAAAAUGGAGAGCCACCUUUCUAGAUUUGUAAGGUAUAUGAAUCAGGAGGAAAGGGUAAUGUUUAUGGAGCAUGUACAUUGUGGAAUGUGUAAUAAUUGAAGAUUUGUGCAAGUCAAUUAAACUAUACAUGCUUGGAAAUUGCCACAUGGGACCAUCUUGAAUGAACAGUUUAUGCAAACAGAAAACAUGUUCAGGAAGAAUGUUAAAAUUUUAACACUUGUAAAUAGAAAGAAGAUGACAUUUGCCUGUCUUUGUAAUUUAUGAGGGUAUUUGCAAAUAAGCAUCAAAACAAGAAGAAAAUAUUAAAAAGACAUUUUGUGCCAGGACAUCAUGGUAGUGCUGGAUUGCCUAUCCAACUCUGUAUAAAGGUUUUUCAAACAAUUUGUGAAGAAUGUUAGUAUCUUCAGAGUCUUCUGCAUCAGCAAAGAGUAGUGCAUUAACUAAUGGAAAAGAGAAGAUAAAAUUUCUGGUGCUCAUGAUGACUAGUCCGAACCUGUGAACUUCUGAGAAAAUUUACAGUUCUGAAAACUAGAGGUGGUUACCGAAUUGAAUAGCCGUUGGUUCUACAGCCACUAUAAUGAUCUGAAAAGUUGAAUGUGUUGCAUGAACACUUUCAGGAAUCAUAAUAGAACUCAGCUAAUUAGAUAGAGACUGGAAUGUUGAUUUGAAGACAAUUACUUUAUAAAGAUUUUCUCAUUGCUGCUUUUGCAUUAUCCCAAGAAGUGGAGACACUACUACAUGGAUAAGAACUGUAUGAUUGAAUUGACUUUGGAAUCAUCUCAGUAUUGUCAUAAAAUAUUCACUGUAUGUAGUCAAUUUUUUCCUCAGAGUUGAUGGUUAUAAAUACUUGUCAAGUUGGAAAAAUUCACUUUUACUUUUAUUUGCAUCACACUUACUAGAUUAGAGACUAGAUUGCUUUAAAUUGAGUCUUCAUUUACAACUUCAAGGAUUCAGUUAUUCGUGGGUGCGAGGGGGACCACAAACCUGGAAGGAAAUGGGAGGAAGAAAAAGAGAAACAGGAGACCAAGAAGAUGGUACCUAUCAAGGUCUCGUUUAUUGGGCUGAGGAAUUUUCCAGUACCUGUAAUUUCUCCAUUCUUGACUCUGCCUUAAAUUCAACUAGACAGCUGGCUUUUAAGACCGACUUGAGUAUUCUGGGAUUACAGUCAAAUAUUACAACACCAGGUUUAUUUGGUUCCAGCAUUCAAAUUCAGAGAUUUCCCCAGGCUGGACAACUGCUAAAUCAACUGAACUACUAUAUCUCUAGCUAAAGGUCCUGGCUAUUAUAAAUAAGGCUGCUAUGAACAUAGUGGAGCAUGUGUCCUUCUUACCAGUUGGGACAUCUUCUGGAUAUAUUCUGGCUACAUUCUGAGCAUAAAUGUGGUUUUUCUCUGAUCCAGGAGUAGUGUGGCCCAACUCUACUCCUAUCUACUUAAAAGACAACACAGGAGGCCUGCACAUUUGAGGUCACCUUGACAACACUGAAACCUCUUCUUCCCAUCUCAACAAUAAAAAGGGUUGCAUUCCCUUUCCAGUAUGGUACAUGGAAAACAUGCAGAGGAAAUGGCCCCACAGCAUUGGCUGAGUGUUUAUGUCGUCCAACCGAGUCUCCAUCGAACAGUUGUGGUAUGGUGACUUGGCCUAGGUCACCUGAGUUAAAAGGGCUGCAUUCCCUUUCUAGUAUGGUCCAUGAAAAACAUGCAGAGGAAAUGGCCCCAAAGCAUUGGCUGAGAGUUUAUGUCGUCCAACUGAGUCUCCAUUGAACUGUUGUGGUGUUGCUGACUUGCCCUAGGUCACCUGAGUUAAAAGGGUUGCAUUCCCUUUCCAGUAUGAUCCAUAGAAAACAUGCAGAGGAAAUGGCCCCACAGCAUUGGCUGAGUGUUUAUGUCGUCCAACUGAGUCUCCAUCGAACUGUUGUGGUGUUGCUGACUUGCCCUAGGUCACCUGAGUUAAAAGGGUUGCAUUCCCUUUCCAGUAUGAUCCAUAGAAAACAUGCAGAGGAAAUGGCCCCACAGCAUUGGCUGAGUGUUUAUGUCGUCCAACUGAGUCUCCAUCGAACUGUUGUGGUGUUGCUGACUUGCCCUAGGUCACCUGAGUUAAAAGGGUUGCAUUCCCUUUCCAGUAUGGUCCAUGGAAAACAUGCAGAGGAAAUGGCCCCACAGCAUUGGCUGAGUGUUUAUGUCGACCAACUUAGUCUCCAUCGACCUGUUGUGGUGUUGCUGACUUGCCCUAGGUCACCUGAGUUAAAUGGGUUGCAUUCCCUUUCCAGUAUGGUCCAUGGAAAACAUGCAGAGGAAAUGGCCCCACAGCAUUGGCUGAGAGUUUAUGUCGUCCAACUGAGUCUCCAUCGAACUGUUGUGGUGUUGCUGACUUGCCCUAGGUCACCUGAGUUAAAUGGGUUGCAUUCCCUUUCCAGUAUGGUCCAUGGAAAACAUGCAGAGGAAAUGGCCCCACAGCAUUGGCUGAGUGUUUAUGUCGUCCAACUGAGUCUCCAUCGAACUGUUGUGGUGUUGCUGACUUGCCCUAGGUCACCUGAGUUAAAUGGGUUGCAUUCCCUUUCCAGUAUGAUCCAUAGAAAACAUGCAGAGGAAAUGGCCCCACAGCAUUGGCUGAGAGUUUAUGUCGUCCAACUGAGUCUCCAUCGAACUGUUGUGGUGUUGCUGACUUGCCCUAGGUCACCUGAGUUAAAUGGGUUGCAUUCCCUUUCCAGUAUGGUCCAUGGAAAACAUUCAGAGGAAAUGGCCCCACAGCAUUGGCUGAGUGUUUAUGUCGACCAACUUAGUCUCGAUCGACCUGUUGUGGUGUUGCUGACUUGCCCUAGGUCACCUGAGUUAAAUGGGUUGCAUUCCCUUUCCAGUAUGGUCCAUGGAAAACAUGCAGAGGAAAUGGCCCCACAGCAUUGGCUGAGAGUUUAUGUCGUCCAACUGAGUCUCCAUCGAACUGUUGUGGUGUUGCUGACUUGCCCUAGGUCACCUGAGUUAAAUGGGUUGCAUUCCCUUUCCAGUAUGGUCCAUGGAAAACAUGCAGAGGAAAUGGCCCCACAGCAUUGGCUGAGUGUUUAUGUCGUCCAACUGAGUCUCCAUCGAACUGUUGUGGUGUUGCUGACUUGCCCUAGGUCACCUGAGUUAAAUGGGUUGCAUUCCCUUUCCAGUAUGAUCCAUAGAAAACAUGCAGAGGAAAUGGCCCCACAGCAUUGGCUGAGAGUUUAUGUCGUCCAACUGAGUCUCCAUCGAACUGUUGUGGUGUUGCUGACUUGCCCUAGGUUACCUGAGUUAAAUGGGUUGCAUUCCCUUUCCAGUAUGGUCCAUGGAAAACAUUCAGAGGAAAUGGCCCCACAGCAUUGGCUGAGUGUUUAUGUCGACCAACUUAGUCUCGAUCGACCUGUUGUGGUGUUGCUGACUUGCCCUAGGUCACCUGAGUUAAAUGGGUUGCAUUCCCUUUCCAGUAUGGUCCAUGGAAAACAUGCAGAGGAAAUGGCCCCACAGCAUUGGCUGAGAGUUUAUGUCGUCCAACUGAGUCUCCAUUGAACUGUUGUGGAGUUGCUGACUUGCCCUAGGGCACCUGAGUUAAAUGGGUUGCAUUCCCUUUCCAGUAUGGUCCAUGGAAAACAUGCAGAGGAAAUGGCCCCACAGCAUUGGCUGAGUGUUUAUGUCGUCCAACUGAGUCUCCAUCGAACUGUUGUGGUGUUGCUGACUUGCCCUAGGUCACCUGAGUUAAAUGGGUUGCAUUCCCUUUCCAGUAUGGUCCAUGGAAAACAUGCAGAGGAAAUGGCCCCACAGCAUUGGCUGAGUGUUUAUGUCGUCCAACUGAGUCUCCAUCGAACUGUUGUGGUGUUGCUGACUUGCCCUAGGUCACCUGAGUUAAAUGGGUUGCAUUCCCUUUCCAGAAUGGUCCAUGGAAAACAUGCAGAGGAAAUGGCCCCACAGCAUUGGCUGAGUGUUUAUGUCGUCCAACUGAGUCUCCAUCGAACUGUUGUGGUGUUGCUGACUUGCCCUAGGUCACCUGAGUUAAAUGGGUUGCAUUCCCUUUCCAGUAUGGUCCAUGGAAAACAUGCAGAGGAAAUGGCCCCACAGCAUUGGCUGAGUGUUUAUGUCGUCCAACUGAGUCUCCAUCGAACUGUUGUGGUGUUGCUGACUUGCCCUAGGUCACCUGAGUUAAAUGGGUUGCAUUCCCUUUCCAGUAUGGUCCAUGGAAAACAUGCAGAGGAAAUGGCCCCACCACAUUGGCUGAGUGUUUAUGUCGUCCAACUGAGUCUCCAUCGAACUGUUGUGGUGUUGCUGACUUGCCCUAGGUCACCUGAGUUAAAUGGGUUGCAUUCCCUUUCCAGUAUGGUCCAUGGAAAACAUGCAGAGGAAAUGGCCCCACAGCAUUGGCUGAGUGUUUAUGUCGUGCAACUGAGUCUCCAUCGAACUGUUGUGGUGUUGCUGACUUGCCCUAGGUCACCUGAGUUAAAUGGGUUGCAUUCCCUUUCCAGUAUGGUCCAUGGAAAACAUGCAGAGGAAAUGGCCCCACAGCAUUGGCUGAGUGUUUAUGUCGUGCAACUGAGUCUCCAUCGAACUGUUGUGGUGUUGCUGACUUGCCCUAGGUCACCUGAGUUAAAUGGGUUGCAUUCCCUUUCCAGUAUGGUCCAUGGAAAACAGCAGAGGAAAUGGCCCCACAGCAUUGGCUGAGUGUUUAUGUCGUGCAACUGAGUCUCCAUCGAACUGUUGUGGUGUUGCUGACUUGCCCUAGGUCACCUGAGUUAAAUGGGUUGCAUUCCCUUUCCAGUAUGGUCCAUGGAAAACAUGCAGAGGAAAUGGCCCCACAGCAUUGGCUGAGUGUUUAUGUCGUCCAACUGAGUCUCCAUCGAACUGUUGUGGUGUUGCUGACUUGCCCUAGGUCACCUGAGUUAAAUGGGUUGCAUUCCCUUUCCAGUAUGGUCCAUGGAAAACAUGCAGAGGAAAUGGCCCCACCACAUUGGCUGAGUGUUUAUGUCGUCCAACUGAGUCUCCAUCGAACUGUUGUGGUGUUGCUGACUUGCCCUAGGUCACCUGAGUUAAAUGGGUUGCAUUCCCUUUCCAGUAUGGUCCAUGGAAAACAUGCAGAGGAAAUGGCCCCACAGCAUUGGCUGAGUGUUUAUGUCGUGCAACUGAGUCUCCAUCGAACUGUUGUGGUGUUGCUGACUUGCCCUAGGUCACCUGAGUUAAAUGGGUUGCAUUCCCUUUCCAGUAUGGUCCAUGGAAAACAUGCAGAGGAAAUGGCCCCACAGCAUUGGCUGAGUGUUUAUGUCGUGCAACUGAGUCUCCAUCGAACUGUUGUGGUGUUGCUGACUUGCCCUAGGUCACCUGAGUUAAAUGGGUUGCAUUCCCUUUCCAGUAUGGUCCAUGGAAAACAUGCAGAGGAAAUGGCCCCACCACAUUGGCUGAGUGUUUAUGUCGUCCAACUGAGUCUCCAUCGAACUGUUGUGGUGUUGCUGACUUGCCCUAGGUCACCUGAGUUAAAUGGGUUGCAUUCCCUUUCCAGUAUGGUCCAUGGAAAACAUGCAGAGGAAAUGGCCUCACAGCAUUGGCUGAGUGUUUAUGUCGUCCAACUGAGUCUCCAUCGAACUGUUGUGGUGUUGCUGACUUGCCCUAGGUCACCUGAGUUAAAUGGGUUGCAUUCCCUUUCCAGUAUGGUCCAUGGAAAACAUGCAGAGGAAAUGGCCCCACAGCAUUGGCUGAGAGUUUAUGUCGUCCAACUGAGUCUACAUUGAACUGUUGUGGUGUUGCUGACUUGCCCUAGGUCACCUGAGUUAAAUGGGUUGCAUUCCCUUUCCAGUAUGGUCCAUGGAAAACAUGCAGAGGAAAUGGCCCCACAGCAUUGGCUGAGAGUUUAUGUCCUCCAACUGAGUCUCCAUUGAACUGUUGUGGUGUUGCUGACUUGCCCUAGGUCACCUGAGUUAAAUGGGUUGCAUUCCCUUUCCAGUAUGGUCCAUGGAAAACAUGCAGAGGAAAUGGCCCCACAGCAUUGGCUGAGAGUUUAUGUCGUCCAACUGAGUCUCCAUUGAAAUGUUGUGGUGUUGCUGACUUGCCCUAGGUCACCUGAGUUAAAUGGGUUGCAUUCCCUUUCCAGUAUGGUCCAUGGAAAACAUGCAGAGGAAAUGGCCCCACAGCAUUGGCUGAGUGUUUAUGUCGUCCAACUGAGUCUCCAUCGAACUGUUGUGGUGUUGCUGACUUGCCCUAGGUCACCUGAGUUAAAUGGGUUGCAUUCCCUUUCCAGUAUGGUCCAUGGAAAACAUGCAGAGGAAAUGGCCCCACAGCAUUGGCUGAGUGUUUAUGUCGUCCAACUGAGUCUCCAUCGAACUGUUGUGGUGUUGCUGACUUGCCCUAGGUCACCUGAGUUAAAUGGGUUGCAUUCCCUUUCCAGUAUGGUCCAUGGAAAACAUGCAGAGGAAAUGGCCCCACAGCAUUGGCUGAGUGUUUAUGUCGUCCAACUGAGUCUCCAUCGAACUGUUGUGGUGUUGCUGACUUGCCCUAGGUCACCUGAGUUAAAUGGGUUGCAUUCCCUUUCCAGUAUGGUCCAUGGAAAACAUGCAGAGGAAAUGGCCCCACAGCAUUGGCUGAGUGUUUAUGUCGUCCAACUGAGUCUCCAUCGAACUGUUGUGGUGUUGCUGACUUGCCCUAGGUCACCUGAGUUAAAUGGGUUGCAUUCCCUUUCCAGUAUGGUCCAUGGAAAACAUGCAGAGGAAAUGGCCCCACAGCAUUGGCUGAGUGUUUAUUUCGUACAACUGAGUCUCCAUCGAACUGUUGUGGUGUUGCUGACUUGCCCUAGGUCACCUGAGUUAAAUGGGUUGCAUUCCCUUUCCAGUAUGGUCCAUGGAAAACAUGCAGAGGAAAUGGCCCCACAGCAUUGGCUGAGUGUUUAUUUCGUACAACUGAGUCUCCAUCGAACUGUUGUGGUGUUGCUGACUUGCCCUAGGUCACCUGAGUUAAAUGGGUUGCAUUCCCUUUCCAGUAUGGUCCAUGGAAAACAUGCAGAGGAAAUGGCCUCACAGCAUUGGCUGAGUGUUUAUGUCGUCCAACUGAGUCUCCAUCGAACUCUUGUGGUGUUGCUGACUUGCCCUAGGUCACCUGAGUUAAAUGGGUUGCAUUCCCUUUCCAGUAUGGUCCAUGGAAAACAUGCAGAGGAAAUGGCCCCACAGCAUUGGCUGAGUGUUUAUGUCGUCCAACUGAGUCUCCAUCGAACUGUUGUGGUGUUGCUGACUUGCCCUAGGUCACCUGAGUUAAAUGGGUUGCAUUCCCUUUCCAGUAUGGUCCAUGGAAAACAUGCAGAGGAAAUGGCCCCACAGCAUUGGCUGAGUGUUUAUGUCGUCCAACUGAGUCUCCAUCGAACUGUUGUGGUGUUGCUGACUUGCCCUAAGUCACCUGAGUUAAAAGGGUUGCAUUCCCUUUCCAGUAUGGUCCAUGGAAAACAUGCAGAGGAAAUGGCCCCACAGCAUUGGCUGAGUGUUUAUGUCGUCCAACUGAGUCUCCAUCGAACUGUUGUGGUGUUGCUGACUUGCCCUAGGUCACCUGAGUUAAAUGGGUUGCAUUCCCUUUCCAGUAUGGUCCAUGGAAAACAUGCAGAGGAAAUGGCCCCACAGCAUUGGCUGAGUGUUUAUGUCGUCCAACUGAGUCUCCAUCGAACUGUUGUGGUGUUGCUGACUUGCCCUAGGUCACCUGAGUUAAAUGGGUUGCAUUCCCUUUCCAGUAUGGUCCAUGGAAAACAUGCAGAGGAAAUGGCCCCACAGCAUUGGCUGAGUGUUUAUGUCGUCCAACUGAGUCUCCAUCGAACUGUUGUGGUGUUGCUGACUUGCCCUAGGUCACCUGAGUUAAAUGGGUUGCAUUCCCUUUCCAGUAUGGUCCAUGGAAAACAUGCAGUGGAAAUGGCCCCACAGCAUUGGCUGAGUGUUUAUGUCGUCCAACUGAGUCUCCAUCGAACUGUUGUGGUGUUGCUGACUUGCCCUAGGUCACCUGAGUUAAAUGGGUUGCAUUCCCUUUCCAGUAUGGUCCAUGGAAAACAUGCAGAGGAAAUGGCCCCACAGCAUUGGCUGAGUGUUUAUGUCAUCCAACCGAGUCUCCAUCGAACUGUUGUGGUGUUGCUGACUUGCCCUAGGUCACUUGAGUUAAAUGGGUUGCAUUCCCUUUCCAGUAUGGUCCAUGGAAAACAUGCAGAGGAAAUGGCCCCACAGCAUUGGCUGAGUGUUUAUGUCAUCCAACCGAGUCUCCAUCGAACUGUUGUGGUGUUGCUGACUUGCCCUAGGUCACUUGAGUUAAAUGGGUUGGAUUCCCUUUCCAGUAUGGUCCAUGGAAAACAUGCAGAGGAAAUGGCCCCACAGCAUUGGCUGAGUGUUUAUGUCAUCCAACCGAGUCUCCAUCGAACUGUUGUGGUGUUGCUGACUUGCCCUAGGUCACUUGAGUUAAAUGGGUUGGAUUCCCUUUCCAGUAUGGUCCAUGGAAAACAUGCAGAGGAAAUGGCCCCACAGCAUUGGCUGAGUGUUUAUGUCAUCCAACCGAGUCUCCAUCGAACUGUUGUGGUGUUGCUGACUUGCCCUAGGUCACCUGAGUUAAAUGGGUUGCAUUCCCUUUCCAGUAUGGUCCAUGGACAACAUGCAGAGGAAAUGGCCCCACAGCAUUGGCUGAGUGUUUAUGUCGUCCAACCGAGUCUCCAUCGAACUGUUGUGGUGUUGCUGACUUGCCCUAGGUCACCUGAGUUAAAAGGGUUUCAUUCCCUUUCCAGUAUGGUUCAUGGAAAACGUGCAGAGGAAAUUGCCCCACAGCAUUGGCUGAGUGUUUAUGUCGUCCAACCGAGUCUCCAUCCAACUGUUGUGGUGUUGCUGACUUGCCCUAGGUCACCUGAGUUAAAAGUGUUUCAUUCCCUUUCCAGUAUGGUUCAUGGAAAACAUGCAGAGGAAAUUGCCCCACAGCAUUGGCUGAGUGUUUAUGUCGUCCAACCGAGUCUCCAUCGAACUGUUGUGGUGUUGCUGACUUGCCCUAGGUCACCUGAGUUAAAAGGGUUGCAUUCCCUUUCCAGUAUGGUCCAUGGAAAACAUGCAGAGGAAAUGGCCCCACAGCAUUGUCUGAGUGUUUAUGUUGUCCAACCGAGUCUCCAUCGAACUGUUGUGGUGUUGCUGAUUUGCCCUAGGUCACCUGAGUUAAAAGGGUUGCAUUCCCUUUCCAGUAUGUUCCAUGGUAAACAUGCAGAGGAAAUGGCCCCACAGCAUUGGAUGAGUGUUUAUGUCGUCCAACCGAGUCUCCAUCGAACUGUUGUGGUGUUGCUGACUUGCCCUAGGUCACCUGAGUUAAAAGGGUUGCAUUCCCUUUCCAGUAUGGUCCAUGGAAAACAUGCAGAGGAAAUGGCCCCACAGCAUUGGCUGAGUGUUUAUGUCGUCCAACCGAGUCUCCAUCGAACUGUUGUGGUGUUGCUGACUUGCCCUAGGUCACCUGAGUUAAAAGGGUUGCAUUCCCUUUCCAGUAUGGUCCAUGGAAAACAUGCAGAGGAAAUGGCCCCACAGCAUUGGCUGAGUGUUUAUGUCGUCCAACCGAGUCUCCAUCGAACUGUUGUGGUGUUGCUGACUUGCCCUAGGUCACCUGAGUUAAAAGGGUUGCAUUCCCUUUCCAGUAUGGUCCAUGGAAAACAUGCAGAGGAAAUGGCCCCACAGCAUUGGCUGAGUGUUUAUGUCGUCCAACCGAGUCUCCAUCGAACUGUUGUGGUGUUGCUGACUUGCCCUAGGUCACCUGAGUUAAAAGGGUUGCAUUCCCUUUCCAGUAUGGUCCAUGGAAAACAUGCAGAGGAAAUGGCCCCACAGCAUUGGCUGAGUGUUUAUGUCGUCCAACCGAGUCUCCAUCGAACUGUUGUGGUGUUGCUGACUUGCCCUAGGUCACCUGAGUUAAAAGGGUUGCAUUCCCUUUCCAGCAUGGUCCAUGGAAAACAUGCAGAGGAAAUGGCCUCACAGCAUUGGCUGAGUGUUUAUGUCGUCCAACUGAGUCUCCAUCGAACUUUUCUGGUGUUGCUGACUUGCCCUAGGUCACCUGAGUUAAAAGGGUUGCAUUCCCUUUCCAGUAUGGUCCAUGGAAAACAUGCAGAGGAAAUGGCCCCACAGCAUUGGCUGAGUGUUUAUGUCUUCCAACCGAGUCUCCAUUGAACUGUUGUGGUGUUGCUGACUUGCCCUAGGUCACCUGAGUUAAAUGGGUUGCAUUCCCUUUCCAGUAUGGUCCAUGGAAAACAUGCAGAGGAAAUGGCCCCACAGCAUUGGCUGAGUGUUUAUAUCUUCCAACCGAGUCUCCAUCGAACUGUUGUGGUGUUGCUGACUUGGCCUAGGUCACCUGAGUUAAAAGGGUUGCAUUCCCUUUCCAGUAUGGUCCAUGGAAAACAUGCAGAGGAAAUGGCCCCACAGCAUUGGCUGAGUGUUUAUGUCAUCCAACCGAGUCUCCAUCGAACUGUUGUGGUGUUGCUGACUUGCCCUAGGUCACUUGAGUUAAAUGAGAUGCAUUCCUUUUCCUUCAUGGGCCAUGAGUGACAUCCAGAGAAAGUGUCACCACAACACUGGACAAAAGUUGAUGAUAUCUGAAUGAGCUACCAGUAAACCCCCCCCUUUUUUUGCUGUUAUUGCCUUGCCUGAGGAAAAGCGAGUUAAAAGAUGAUACCUACAGUGAUGAGUUGGAGUUAUAGAUGGUGCCAUUUCUUCUACCAGCAGCUUCACCAAAACAAUCUCCAUUAUACAUGCUGAUGCCUCUUUCCUGUGUAGCAGCAGACACCACCUGCAGAUAAGAAAUGCUUAAGGAAAACAUACUUUCAAGUAUCAAAAAAGGGUGCCCUUGCUUCCAUCUAAAAUAUUUCGACCCUGCAACCCUCUCCAGUUACAUGUGACCAUUCCUAACUCUGAAGCAAUUUUGGAAAGGAAGUCAUCUCACAUGCCUACUGUGAAGGCAGAGAACCACAGAUAAUCAGGCAGAGAAACACAGAUAAUCAGGGAAGACAUUCUUCCAAGUAUCAAGAAAGGGAGCCCUUGCUUCCCUGGAAGACAUUUCGUCCCAGCAAUCACUCUCCAGUUCCUUGUGACCAUUCCUAUUCUGAGCCAGUUUUGGAAAGUCAUCUCACAUGCCACCUUGGAAGGCAGAGAAACACAGAUAAUCAGGGAAGACAUUCUUCCAAGUAUCAAGAAAGGGAGCCCUUGCUUCCCUGGAAGACAUUUCGUCCCAGCAAUCACUCUCCAGUUCCUUGUGACCAUUCCUACUCUGAGCCAGUUUUGGAAAGUCAUCUCACAUGCCACCUUGGAAGGCAGAGAAACACAGAUAAUCAGGGAAGACAUUCUUCCAAGUAUCAAGAAAGGGAGCCCUUGCUUCCCUGGAAGACAUUUCGUCCCAGCAAUCACUCUCCAGUUCCUUGUGACCAUUCCUACUCUGAGCCAGUUUUGGAAAGGCAGAGAAACACAGAUAAUCAGGGAAGACAUUCUUCCAAGUAUCAAGAAAGGGAGCCCUUGCUUCCCUGGAAGACAUUUCGUCCCAGGAAUCCCUCUCCAGAUCCAUGUGACCAUUCCUACUCUGAGCCAGUUUUGGAAAGUAAGUCAUCUCACAUUCCACCUUGGAAGGCAGAGAAACACAGAUAAUCAGGCAGAGAAACACAGAUAAUCAGGGAAGACAUUCUUUCAAGUAUCAAGAAAGGGAGCCCUUGCUUCCCUGGAAGACAUUUCGUCCCAACAAUCCCUCUCAAAUUCCAUAUGACCAUUCCUACUCUGAGCCAGUUUUGGAAAGGAAGUCAUCUCAUAUGCCACCUUGGAAGGCAGAGAAACACAGAUAAUCAGUCAUCUCACAUGCCACCUUGGAAGGCAGAGCAACACAAAUAAUCAGGGAAGACAUUCUUCCAAGUAUCAAGAAAGGGAGCCCUUGCUUCCCUGGAAGACAUUUCGUAAGAGCAAUUUCUCCCCAGUUCUGUGUGACCAUUCCUACUCUGAGCCAGUUUUGGAAAGGAAGUCAUCUCACAUGCCACCUUGGAAGGCAGAGAAACACAGAUAAUCAGCCAGUUUUGGAAAGGAAGGCAGAGAAACACAGAUAAUCAGGGAAGACAUUCUUCCAAGUAUCAAGAGAGGGAGCCCUUGCUUCACUGGAAGACAUUUCUUCCCAGUAAUCACUCUCCAGUUCCAUGUGACCUUUCCUAAUCUGAGCCAGUUUUGGAAAGGAAGUCAUCUCACAUGCCACCUUGGAAGGCAGAGAAACACAGAUAAUCAGGGAAGACAUUCUUCCAAGUAUCAAGAAAGGGAGCCCUUGCUUCACUGGAAGACAUUUCGUCCCAGUAAUCACUCUCCAGUUCCAUGUGACCUUUCCUAAUCUGAGCCAGUUUUGGAAAGGAAGUCAUCUCACAUGCCACCUUGGAAGGCAGAGAAACACAGAUAAUCAGGGAAGACCUUCUUCAAAGUAUCAAGAAAGGGAGCCCUUGCUUCCCUGGAAGACAUUUCGUCCCAGCAAUCCCUCUCCAGUUAAAUGUUACCAUUCCUACUCUGAGCCAGUUUUGGAAAGGAAGGUAAGUGGUUGGAUUAGGUUAGGUGAUAUCCAAGUAGAGGUAGCCGAAUUCUGUCUAGGACUGGGUCAAUGAUGACAACCCAAUGUCAUGAAGAAAGGUGAUGACAUAAAAUGCAAUCCCCAUUAAAAUUCCAACUCAAUUCUUCAACGAAUUAGAAGGAGCAAUUUGCAAAUUCAUCUGGAAUAACAAAAAACCGAGGAUAGCAAAAACUCUUCUCAAGGAUAAAAGAACCUCUGGUGGAAUCACCAUGCCUGACCUAAAGCUUUACUACAGAGCAAUUGUGAUAAAAACUGCAUGGUACUGACAUUCUUCUAAGUAUCAAGAAAGGGAGCCCUUGCUUCCCUGGAAGACAUUUCAUCCCAGCAAUCCCUCUCCAGUUCCAUGUGACCAUUCCUACUCUGAGCCAGUUUUGGAAAGGAAGGGAAGACAUUCUUCCAAGUAUCAAGAAAGAGAGCCCUUGCUUCCCUGGAAGACAUUUCGUCCCAGCAAUCACUCUCCAGUUCCAUGUGACCAUUCCUACUCUGAGCCAGUUUUGGAAAGGAAGUCAUCUCACAUGCCACCUUGGAAGGCAGAGAAACACAGAUAAUCAGGGAAGACAUUCUUCCAAGUAUCAAGAAAGGGAGCCCUUGCUUCCAUGGAAGAUAUUUCCUCCCAACAAUCCCUCUCCAGUUCAAUGUGACCAUUCCUACUCUGAGCCAGUUUUGGAAAGGAAGUCAUCUCACAUGCCACCUUGGAAGGCAGAGAAACACAGAUAAUCAGGGAAGACAUUCUUCCAAGUAUCAAGAGAGGGAGCCCUUGCUUCCCUGGAAGACAUUUCGUCCCAGCAAUCACUCUCCAGUUCCAUGUGACCAUUCCUACUCUGAGCCAGUUUUGGAAAGGAAGUCAUCUCACAUGCCACCUUGGAAGGCAGAGAAACACAGAUAAUCAGGGAAGACAUUCUUCCAAGUAUCAAGAAAGGGAGCCCUUGCUUCCAUGGAAGAUAUUUCCUACCAACAAUCCCUCUCCAGUUCCAUGUGACCAUUCCUACUCUGAGCCAGUUUUGGAAAGGAAGGCAGAGAAACACAGAUAAUCAGGGAAGACAUUCUUCCAAGUAUCAAGAAAGGGAGCCCUUGCUUCCAUGGAAGAUAUUUCCUACCAACAAUCCCUCUCCAGUUCCAUGUGACCAUUCCUACUCUGAGCCAGUUUUGGAAAGGAAGGCAGAGAAACACAGAUAAUCAGGGAAGACAUUCUUCCAAGUAUCAAGAAAGGGAGCUCUUGCUUCCAUGGAAGAUAUUUCCUCCCAACAAUCCCUCUCCAGUUCCAUGUGACCAUUCCUACUCUGAGCCAGUUCUGGAAAGGAAGGGAAGACAUUCUUCCAAGUAUCAAGAAAGGGAGCCCUUGCUUCCCUGGAAGACAUUUCGUCCCAGCAAUCACUCUCCAGGUCCAUGUGACCAUUCCUACUCUGAGCCAGUUUUGGAAAGGAAGUCAUCUCACAUGCCCCCUUGGAAGGCAGAGAAACACAGAUAAUCAGUAUUGUCCCUUGCGCAUGACAGUGUCUUUUCUGGUGUUUUGCAGUCAUCUCACAUGCCAACUUGGAAGGCAGAGAAACACAGAUAAUCAGGGAAGACAUUCUUCCAAGUAUCAUGAAAGGGAGCCCUUGCUUCCCUGGAAGACAUUUCGUCCGAGCAAUCCCUCUCCAGGUCCAUGUGACCAUUCCUACUCUGAGCCAGUUUUGGAAAGAAAGGGAAGACAUUCUUCCAAGUAUCAAGAAAGUGAGCCCUUGCUUCCCUAGAAGACAUUUCGUUCCAGCAAUCCCUCUCCAGUUCCAUGUGACCAUUCCUACUCUGAGCCAGUAUUGGAAAGAAAGUCAUCUCACAACCUUGGAAGGCAGAGAAUCACAGAUAAUCAGGGAAGACAUUCUUCCAAGUAUCAAGAAAGGGAGCCCUUCCUUCCCUAGAAGACAUUUCGUUCCAGCAAUCCCUCUCCAGUUCCAUGUGACCAUUCCUACUCUGAGCCAGUUUUGGAAAGCCACCUUGGAAGGCAGAGAAACACAGAUAAUCAGGGAAGACAUUCUUCCAAGUAUCAAGAAAGGGAGCCCUUCCUUCCCUAGAAGACAUUUCGUUCCAGCAAUCCCUCUCCAGUUCCAUGUGACCAUUCCUACUCUGAGCCAGUUUUGGAAAUUAUGUCACAAGCCACCUUGGAAGGCAGAGAAACACAGAUAAUCAGGGAAGACAAUCUUCCAAGUAUCAAGAAAGGGAGCCCUUGCUUCCCUGGAGGACAUUUCGUCCCAGCAAUCCCUCUCCAGUUCCAUGUGACCAUUCCUACUCUAAGCCAGUUUUGGAAAGGAAGUCAUCUCACAUGCCACCUUGGAAGGCAGAGAAACACAGAUAAUCAGUCAUCUCACAUGCCACCUUGGAAGGCAGAGAAACACAGAUAAUCAGGGAAGACAUUCUUCCAAGUAUCAAGAAAAGGAGCCCUUGCAACCCUGGAAGACAUUUUCUCCUAGCAAUCCCUCUCCAGUUCCAUAUGACCAUUCCUACUCUGAGCCAGUUUUGGAAAGGAGGUCAUCUCACAUGCCACCUUGGAAGGCAGAGAAACACAGAUAAUCAGGGAAGACAUUCUUCCAAGUAUCAAGAAAAGGAGCCCUUGCAACCCUGGAAGACAUUUUCUCCUAGCAAUCCCUCUCCAGUUCCAUAUGACCAUUCCUACUCUGAGCCAGUUUUGGAAAGGAGGUCAUCUCACAUGCCACCUUGGAAGGCAGAGAAACACAGAUAAUCAGGGAAGACAUUCUUCCAAGUAUCAAGAAAGGGAGCCCUUGCUUCCCUGGAGGACAUUUCGUCCCAGCGAUCCCUCUCCAUUUCCAUGUGACCAUUCCUACUCUGAGCCAGUUUUGGAAAGGAAGUCAUCUCACAUGCCACCUUGGAAGGCAGAGAAACACAGAUAAUCAGACAUUCUUCCAAGUAUCAAGAAAGGGAGCCCUAGCUUCCCUGGAGGACAUUUCGUCCCAGCGAUCCCUCUCCAUUUCCAUGUGACCAUUCCUACUCUGAGCCAGUUUUGGAAAGGAAGUCAUCUCACAUGCCACCUUGGAAGGCAGAGAAACACAGAUAAUCAGACAUUCUUCCAAGUAUCAAGAAAGGGAGCCCUAGCUUCCCUGGAGGACAUUUCGUCCCAGCGAUCCCUCUCCAUUUCCAUGUGACCAUUCCUACUCUGAGCCAGUUUUGGAAAGGAAGUCAUCUCACAUGCCACCUUGGAAGGCAGAGAAAUACAGAUAAUCAGGGAAGACAUUCUUCCAAGUAUCAAGAAAGGGAGCACUUGCUUCCCUGGAAGACAUUUCGUCAGAGCAAUCCCUCCCCAGUUCCAUGUGAACUUUCCUACUCUGAGCCAGUUUUGGAAAGGAAGUCAUCUCACAUGCCACCUUGGAAGUCAGAGAAACACAGAUAAUCAGGGAAGACAUUCUUCCAAGUAUCAAGAAAGGGAGCCCUUGCUUCCCUGGAAGACAUUACAUCCCAGCAAUUCCUCUCCAGUUCCAUGUGACCAUUCCUACUCUGAACCAGUUUUUGAAAGGAAGUCAUCUCACAUGCCACCUUGGAACGCAGAGAAAUACAGAUAAUCAGGGAAGACAUUCUUCCAAGUAUCAAGAAAGGGAGCCCUUGCUUCCCUGGAAGACAUUACAUCCCAGCAAUUCCUCACCAGUUCCAUGUGACCAUUCCUACUCUGAACCAGUUUUUGAAAGGAAGUCAUCUCACAUGCCACCUUGGAACGCAGAGAAAUACAGAUAAUCAGGUAAUCAUCUCACAUGCCACCUAGGAAGGCAGAGAAACACAGAUAAUCAGGGAAGACAUUCUUCCAAGUAUCAAGAAAGGGAGCCCUUGCUUCCCUGGAAGACAUUUCGUCAGAGCAAUCCCUCCCCAAUUCCGUGUGAACUUUCCUACUCGGAGCCAGUUUUGGAAAGGAAGUCAUCUCACAUGCCACCUUGGAAGGCAGAGAAACACAGAUAAUCAGGGAAGACAUUCUUCCAAGUAUCAAGAAAGGGAGCCCUUGCUUCCCUGGAAGACAUUUCGUCAGAGCAAUUUCUCCCCAGUUCCGUGUGACCAUUCAUACUCUGAGCCAGUUUUGGAAAGGAAGUCAUCUCACAUGCCACCUUGGAAGGCAGAGAAACACAGAUAAUCAGUCAUCUCACAUGCCACCUUGGAAGGCAGAGAACUGCAGAUAAUCAGGGAAGACAUUCUUCCAAGUUUCAAGAAAGGGUGCCCUUGCUUCUCUGGAAGGCCUUUCAUCCCUGUAUCCCUCUCCAGUUCCUUGUGACCAUUCCUAACUCUGAGGCAGUUUUGGAAAGGAAGGGAAGACAUCUUUCAAGUUUCAAGCAAGGGUGCUUUUGCUCCCUGGAAGACGUUUCUUCUCUGCAUCCUUCUUAAGUUACAUGUGACCAUUCCUCUCUCUGAGGCUGUUUUUGUAAGGAUGGUAUGCAGUUGGGUUAGGUUAGGUGAUAUCAAUGUACAGUCAGCCAUUUUCUGUCUAGGCCUUUGUCAAUGAUAACAACCCAAAAUCAUGAACAGAGGUGAUGAUAUAAAAAUCAUGCUCAAUAGGAUUACGCUGAGGCACAAAGAACUGGGUUACAAGCAGUCACUUGACACAUUGGAAACCUCUUUGGUGACUUCAAUGAGGUCCUCAGAUGCCUGUGCCUUCUUUUUCAAGAGAGGAAAUGUGGACAUCUAUGGUGUACAUUGGUUGGCAAAUGCUGCAUGACAACAAGCACCUAGUCCCACAUUCUAACCUUGGGCAUUUCUGAAAGGCCUGCCCAUUGCUCAUGACCCUGUCCUUUCUGGUGUUUUGCAAUCAUCUGACAUGCCACCUUGUAAGGCAGAGAAACACAGAUAUCAGGAAAGAUAUUCUUCAAAGUUUCAAACAAGGGUGCCCUUGCUUCCCUGGAAGAACUUUCUUGCCUGCAUCCCUCUCCAGUUACAUGUAACCAUUCCUAACUCUGAGGAAGUUUGGGAAAGGAAGUCAUAUGACAUGCCACCUUGGAAAGCAGAGAACCACAGAUAUCAGAGGCUCAGUCCAUUAUCAUCAUGCCAAGAAGCAUGGCAGUGUCCUGGUGCAGAAGAAAGAGCCAAGAAUUCUCCAUCUUGAACUGAAGGCACAGACAGGAAGAAUGUCUCUUCCACACUGGGAGGAGCUUGAGCACCAGCAGCCCUCAAAGCCUGCCUACACAAUGAUAUACUUCUUCCAACAAGACAAUAUGGACCUACACUCACUGGGCACUAAAAUUCUCCUCAGACAGGAAAACCAACUGAUCUGAUAAAUGCUCCUAGGAAAAUAGCAAGAUAUAAAGUCAACACAAAAAGGGUUGCAGAGCCCUUCAGCUCCUUGGGUGCUGUCUCUAAAAAUUCAGGUGACAACAGAUGCUGGUGAAGAUGUGGAGAAAGAAGAACACUCCUCCAUUACUGGGGGGAUUGCAAGCUUGUACAACCACUCUGGAAUUCCUCCUCUUAACUUUGGACAUCGAAAAAACAAGCUAUCCAAUCAUUUAAUUGGAGACACAUGGAUAUUAGUUGCUUCUUUUUGUUGCUUUCAAGAUUCUGUCUCUGGAUUUUGUUAACAAGCAACGUUGGGAGAACUGUUCUCAGGAUGUCUUCCAAGAUGUUAUCUACCAGCUGCAUGGUAAUUUCACUGAAACCACACAACCAGAGAUAAGAGUUCUGAAGAUUAAACUCAGUUCUUCUUGCAAGUUGAUCUACCUUCUCAGCUCGCAUACCCAAUUUUCAGAACAUCAUUCAGUGGUUCAUUAAUGAAUUCUUCAAAGGAGAUAAGUGGUUUUCGACAGUCUAGAGUUUUAACGCCAAGUUCGGUUUCUAGUGGAUCCACUCGAGGACCUUUCUUAUUUCUUCUUUCAUCUCCCAGAAGCUCCUGAAGUGUUAAUUCGCUGGACUCAGAAUUUCCAUUCAGAGGCUGAGGAAAAGAUAUUACUACUCAUGUAAACUCUACUGAAGUUAAAACUGCUACUACAACUACUACUACCUAUGACCAUUACUCAGGUUCUAACAAUUCUUAACAGAGCAACUGGAAAUUAUUACAGUCAUCAGUCAUUUAAAAACAAACAGAAGAAAGAAGCUAAGAAAGCAAAAACCACAAGCACUAAAACCUAUAUUUAUUUUCUCCCAGAAAUAGAAUUGGGAUCAUAAAAGUCUCUAGCUUCUCACCACUAGGCCAAAUGUAAAUUUCAACAAAGGCUUUACCAUUUCAGGUUAACAAAACAAAAGAUACUUAUCUUUUUGGAAAAAGGUAACAUUUUACAUAUUAAAGUUUUAGAAAGUAAUAUAUUUAUCAAAUAAUAAUGUUGAAACCACUAAUCUCUUUCACCAAAGAGUAACAUAUUAUAAUUAUUAAACAUUUAAGUUAGGAUAAUUUUAUGGUUACAUUGAUAAUACACCUCAUACAUUGCCAAUAUAUCUAACAUGUAAAAUCUUUAUUAUGAUUGCUACAUAUUAUUAAAGGUACCUAAUUCAAAAAUAAGAAACAAUAUAAAAUUCAAGUCCUCAUUGAUGGAAUGGCUUCCAAAACAUAAACCACAAAGCACUAAACUAUAUAUACUACAAACCUGUCUAUGGCCCAUUCUAGAGUAUUGAUACUUUUUAAUUUUAUGAUCUUCAAUUCUUUCUUUUAAAAAAAUGUUCUAUUUACUUAUUAGAGGUGAUGAGGGUAUUGAGCUGAGUUGAUAACCUAAAAGAAUUAAUUUUCUCCUUCUACAGUGUGAGUUUCAGUAGUUACAUGUCCCUAUCUGAGGCAGCAUGGCAAGCCAAGUUCAAUUCUUAGUCUACUAAGAAUAAGUAAAAAAGAAAACACUAACAUGGAGCUCAUUUCUCGUUAUUCUAACUGAAAAAAAUACAUGGAAUCUUCUUUAACCAUUCAAGUCUACCAAAUUUCUCUAAACUGUAACCAAAACACAGAAAAUAUCAGUAAUGAAUAAAUAGGCAGACUGUUAGAAUAUAAUGUUUUAUCUCCCUAUCAUUGAAUUAUAAAAUUAGUUAGAAAGUGCAAAUUCUACAUACAGAACAAUAUACAUCCUGCCUGAAAGAGAAUAAAGCUCUAGAUCCACACACCUUUGAUUUGCAAUGUCUUCCUUUCAGAGCACAGUCAUUAAAUCACUCUGACAUUCUAGUAAUACAAACUACUAUUCAUUGAUAUUUGUUCCACGUAGUACUCUACUUAAAAUGUUUAAAAUGUUUAUCUCCAUCUCCCCCACCCCUCUCAUGUGUGCAUAUAAAUCACUGCAAUCAGAAAUAAAAAGUUCUAAUCUGGGUAUCAACAAACAGUUAAGUAAAGAAACUUUUUUUUUUUAAGAUUCACCUGUACAUUCUAAUAUAUGUGUGCUUGAAAACUGUUUGAGACAUGGUUUCACAUAGUAGAAACAGAACUGGAAAUCAGCUCAAAAUCUUUAAAACAUAACAUUUUAUACUCCAAACAGUUUCACGCAAAAACAGAGUUGUGAUACACUAGCUGAUAACUACACCUCUAACUAAAGUGAACAAAUAUAAUUAUCAAACUGAGGGAAACAUGAUUAAGCAUAUAUAAUUCAAAAAUAUUAAAGAAGUAAAGGCAAUAAAAUUUGGAGUGAUCCACAAAAACAAAGAACCUGUAAAAAAGGAACACCCAUGGGCUAAAACAAGGCAACUAUAUCCAUUAUAUACUAGAUUUUUCCCACAGUUAGUUGCAUUCAACUAUGAUGGGAUACUAUUUUUCAUUUACUGUUACUCUGUCAUGUCCACUCUGUUGUAGAAACAUGUAUAAUUGAGCCAAUGCAAUUUUCACAUUCAAAAUAUUGAUUAGCAUUCACCUACUUAUCUACAAUGUAAACAAAUUCAUGAAAUAGGACUGGCUAUAUAUUUUUGAGUAGCAAAGCUGAAAGUUUUUUUUUCUGAUUUUUCUUUAGUCCUAUUGUGAAAGUAAUAUCAUGAAGUUGUACUAUAAUUUUAUUUCACUAAUUCAUUUAAACAUGUUUCAAGUGAUAGUGGAACUAAUCCCUGGCAAUCUGAAACAUUCAAUUACUUCCAUUAAGAGAAAAAAAUAGAUUGAACAAAAUCAAUCAUGAGGCAAAGUAGGAAAUUUGAAGAAUUUUCAAAAUAUAGAACUAUUUUUAAAAUACUAGAUGCAUUGGGGACAUAGCUUAAUCGUGAGUGCUUAUUUUUCACUCAUGAGGCUAUCCUCAGUACCAGGUAUCAGAGUAUAAAACUUUAAUUUCAUUACUGGGGAAAUAGAAGUGUGAGUAUUAAAAGUACAAGAAUAGUGCCACUUAACUUGCACAAAACAAAAUGAAACGAAACCCCACAAGAGCUGAGUAAAGACUAUUACUGGUAAGUUACGUCCCUAAGCAGUAUGAAAAUAUCUAAUUCCUGACGUAGAGAGGGCAGAAUGUAAGAAGGAAAAAAUGUAAUUUUCAGAUAACUAUUGCAAAAUUUUACCC